rnacentral:rRNA from 1 species
GACGAACGCUGGCGGCGUGCUUAACACAUGCAAGUCGAACGGAAAGGCCCUGCUUUUGUGGGGUGCUCGAGUGGCGAACGGGUGAGUAACACGUGAGUAACCUGCCCUUGACUUUGGGAUAACUUCAGGAAACUGGGGCUAAUACCGGAUAGGAGCUCCUGCUGCAUGGUGGGGGUUGGAAAGUUUCGGCGGUUGGGGAUGGACUCGCGGCUUAUCAGCUUGUUGGUGGGGUAGUGGCUUACCAAGGCUUUGACGGGUAGCCGGCCUGAGAGGGUGAACGGCGACAAUGGGACUGAGAUACGGCCCAGUCUCGUACGGGAGGCAGCAGUGGGGAAUAUUGCACAAUGGGCGGAAGCCUGUGGCAGCAACGCCGCGUGCGGGAUGACGGCCUUCGGGUUGUAAACCGCUUUCGCCUGUGACGAAGCGUGAGUGACGGUAAUGGGUAAAGAAGCACCGGCUAACUACGUG